AUAUAUAUAGUAUAAAAAAUUACAUUUAACUUCCAAUUAAAAGAUUUUAGUAAAAUAUAUAUA
rnacentral:tRNA from 1 species